UGUAGGUGAACCUGCAGAAGGAUCAUUGUCGAUUCCUGCAAAAUGCAGAACAACCCGCGAACCGGUUAAGCUUCGAGCGUCCUGCCUCGUGCGGGAACUGUGCGGGGCGCGUCGGAUCCGCGGACAGCGCCCUGCGCGCGCCGCGCGGCCCGCGCCCCCUAACGAACCCCGGCGCGAUCAGCGUCAAGGAACACGUAACUGAGAACGCGGCUUCCCCUGCCCCGAUUUCGGGACGCGGGGGGGCAUGCGAAGUUGAUCACGUAUCGAAACGACUCUCGACAACGGAUAUCUCGGCUCUCGCAUCGAUGAAGAACGUAGUGAAAUGCGAUACUUGGUGUGAAUUGCAGAAUCCCGUGAACCAUCGAGUUUUUGAACGCAAGUUGCGCCCGAAGCCUUCUGGCCGAGGGCACGUCUGCCUGGGCGUCACGCAUCGCAUGCCACCCCGCACCCCGAAACCAACAAGGACCGCUGGCUCCCCCGGACGAAGCAGGCUCGUGCCGCUUCGCAGGGGCGGGCUGCGCCGGCCUUGGCGGGAGGGGGUCGGGGAGGCGAAGUUGGCCUCCCGCGCGGGCAGCCUCGCGGUUGGCCUAAAUUUGAGUCCUCGGCGUCUUCGCAGCGCGAUCGACGGUGGUAGCCAUGCCCUCGACGAAUCGCGUCGCGCAUGCGGGACGCGCUCGCGGGAACUCCUCCAGGACCCUAAUGCGCCUGCUCGCCGGACGAGACCGGCGAGGAGACGUCGUAUCGAAGCGACCCCAGGUCAGGCGGGACUACCCGCUGAAU
rnacentral:rRNA from 1 species